UACGUAGGGGGCGAGCGUUGUCCGGAAUCAUUGGGCGUAAAGAGCGUGUAGGCGGCUCGGUAAGUCCGCUGUGAAAGUCGGGGGCUCAACCCUCGAAUGCCGGUGGAUACUGUCGAGCUAGAGUGCGGAAGAGGCGAGUGGAAUUCCUGGUGUAGCGGUGAAAUGCGCAGAUAUCAGGAGGAACACCGAUUGCGAAGGCAGCUCGCUGGGACGUUACUGACGCUGAGACGCGAAAGCGUGGGGAGCGAACCGG
rnacentral:rRNA from 1 species